GACGAACGCUGGCGGCGUGCUUAACACAUGCAAGUCGAACGCGCCUGUCCUCUGGGUUUCUGGGGGGUGGGUGAGUGGCGAACGGGUGAGUCACACGUGAGUAACCUGCCCCCUUCUUCGGGAUAACGGUCUGAAAGGGCUGCUAAUACCGGGUAUUCACUGGUCUCCGCAUGGGGUCUGGUGGAAAGGUUUUUUUCUGUUGGGGGAUGGGCUCGCGGCCUAUCAGCUUGUUGGUGGGGUGAUGGCCCACCAAGGCUUUGACGGGUAGCCGGCCUGGGAGGGUGACCGGUGACAUUGGGACUGAGAUACGGACCAGACUCCUACGGGAGGCAGCAGUGGGGAAUAUUGCACAAUGGGCGCAAGCCUGAUGCAGCGACGCCGCGUGAGGGAUGGAGGCCUUCGGGUUGUGAACCUCUUUCGCCCGUGGUCAAGCCGCGACGUGGGUCGUGGUGAGGGUAGUGGGUAAAGAAGCGCCGGCUAACUACGUG
rnacentral:rRNA from 1 species